AAAUGAAAAACAAAUAAUUGUAUUUAGUUUCGACCUAAACUUCUGGUGCUGGCCCACCUUCAUUUG
rnacentral:tRNA from 1 species